rnacentral:lncRNA from 1 species
UUUGGUGGCCCCGGGUGUCAACACACUAAGCACACUGUACGCAUUGCAGUCAGUAGUUUGGUGGCCCCGGGUGUCAACACACUAAGCACACUGUAUGCAUUGCAGUCAGGUAUUGUCUAUGGAUACUGGGAAGUGGGAUGAUGGGGUUUGUUUUCUUAAAUUCCCAGACAAUUCUACAGACUGCAGGCCGUGUGUUCCAGAUCAAGAAACUGGGCAGUUUCCUGAGGCAAAAACCGGUAAUGAAAAAACUGCCAUUUAUGGGGAUAGGGUGAGGGCUGUGGAUUCAAAUUCAUCCAAACUACACACUAUUCAUUUGUUUCACAACAUUUUUCUGCAUCCAUUUGACAGAGUUCAGAGUGACUAAAACAGAAAGGAAACGAAAAUCAGUUUUGUAUAGUGGGAGGCCAAGAAGAGAACACCCACUAAAGAAGAGAGAAAAGGAAAGCAAAAAAAAAAAACAGUCUAUUUGUUUUUUCUUAUUUUUUCAAAUUUUUAUUUCUUCAGGUACUUUUGAUUUAUGGGCCUUGUCUGCAUGUGAGGCAUUGAAUCUUUAUGAUGACAAAUAGUACGUUUAUGCUGAAAUAAUAGCAAGAAGGAAACGGACAAAAAGAGGGGAAAACCAAAAGAAAAAAAAUUUAUAAGCUCUUGUGUAUUCUUCCUUGUUUGUAUGUAUUAAUGUCUAUCAUUGAUUAUGACUAUUGAGUGGCUUGCUUGUCGGUUACGAGAUAAUAAGGAAUUCUCGCUCUAAAAAUUAGAGAAAAAUUGCGAGAAAAUCGGGGAAGAAAGUAAAAGCCUUUUUCCUUUCUGGGUUUCUUAUUUUCUCUGCAAUUAUAUGUUGUUUGUUUGAGUUCUUNNNNN